CUGGCCCCCAGCCAGCUCCACACCUGUGGAUUCUGCCCCUUGGCCACAGUCACUCACCAACUCCAAACAGCUCUGCACUUUUCCCCUCACAGGGGUCAGCAGAGGUGUCAAUCACCCAAGCUUAUGGUGGAUGAGGCCAAAGCCCAGAGAGAGAAGGACUGGAUUGCUACAUUAGUUCUAAGAAAAUAAAAUAGACAACACACAGCAUGUCAUUUAUGUCAUGUAACAAGUGUCUGAGGAAAAGCAGUGGAGGAAUAGCACAGCCAUGCCAUGGGACUGCCAGAGAUCCAACCUUCCACUGCCACAUUCGCAGGCAGGAUUUUCAUUGUCUUCGAGCUUGCCACUUCCUGCCCCAGACUGGCUGUUAAUUCUCAGUCAAGCCCAGACAACAAAAAGAAGAAAAGACCAAGGAAUGAAAGUCUGGGCCAGAUUACUUCCGGAGGCUCCUGAGUAUCAAAGAGCAAUCUAAAGGGAAAAAGUGGGAUAGGAAGUAACAAUUAUACCUAUUAGCAGAAUCUAUCUCAGACACUGUCUUCAUGCUGGGAGCCUCACACCACUGUAAUCGACACUGAACUGAGCUCAGCGCCUACUGUAAAUGCCUUCAUCAUGCUUUUGGAUAAGUGAAGAAGAGGGGCAAAAUAAGCAUCCAUCACCAUUCUUAUUUCCACAGAGCAGGGAGAACUCCUAGAAGAGGAGCUUUCCUCUUCCUCCUUCUUCCCUAGUGGGCUGAUGAAUACUUUGACUGGUUGGUAAAUCUGAAGACUUGAACCCCUUGGCUUGGUCCCCUCCUCUCUCCCUCUCUCUCUUUCAGAGAGUUUCUAUCUCCACAGGAUACGUAGGUUCUCCUCUUCCUGGGGCUCUGCAGUUCCACCUUGAAAAGGUGUUUAAUGGUAAAACUCUUACCUGCCCUGCUUUGACUCCAAGCCUAUGAACUGACACCCUGUAUCCACAGCAAACCAAAACACCAAAGUCCUCUCUACCCUCUUGGGUUCCGAACAAAUUCAAAAAUAAGACAGGGACUUGGAAGGAAACAGAGUGUCAUCAUGUAGCUGACGUGAAAGCGCUCAGUCUCCCUACAAGCACUCCAAAUUCAACAUUCGUCGCCUUCUUGCUGCUUACUUUAUGGUAGAGCCAGAGGGAGACGUCAAGCCAUGCAUGCUUAACGCUUUUCUCCCUUCACCAAUAAGUCACUCUUUUGUCGCUGAAAAGGAGCUGAAUGAGAGGAGCGGAGAAAGGCUAGAAUAAAGUAAGAGCCCAUAAUAAUAAAUGCUAACAUCCAGCCAGCACUUAUUCAACCCUAAAUAUGGAUUAGUAUAUUUGAACCUCAUAACACUAUGUGGUAAGUACCGUUAUGUUCAUUGUGCAGAUGAGGACAAUAAGGUAUGAGAAGGCAGAGCACUUCUCCAGGGACAGAAAACAAAAUUCUGCUUGGGGAGAUGACCAAUCAGCUUUUCUACAGCCUAGCCAGAAUACAAACACCCUAGAAGUAGCUAUAAAACUUGGGCUUGUACACUUUGGAAUUCAAUUUUUUUCCAGUGAAAGCUUUCACCUCACAUAUCAUCUUAGAUUUAUAUGAUUCCUUAAAUACUGUAUAUACUACUUCAGAGAUAAGUUUCACAUAUUGUGAAAUUAUAACAUUAUAGCUACAAGAACUUUGAAGUUCAUUCAUUUAAAAAUCUUCCAAUAAUAGAUGGGAUAGAUGAGACCUAGUACAGUUAAACAACUUGCCCAAAAUCAUAAGGCUAGUUGUAAAAAGAUAUAUGGGUUGAAUCUCACUCACAAGAUCUUCCAAAUGUGCUUUUUUCAUAUCAUCAUUAAUGCAUAAAUCAACUGAUAAACUAAAUGAAAAAGCAAGAAGAUAACUUGAUAUUUUCAUUGAAUAGUAUUUCUCUUCUAUAGAAAUUAGAUUGAUUUGUUUUCUGAUUGCCCUGAAUUAAAAUAUUACUUUCCCUAUGAAAAUUUUGCAAAAAACUACCUUAGCUGGAGUUACAGACAAGAAAAUUGGGAUAGACGGUAAAUGCUGCAGAAAGUUCAAUAUGUUCAGUAUUGUUAUGCUGAGUAUUGCCCAUAGUUCUGUAUCCUCCUUGAAAACUCUGGACACUCUUUGUGACACAUCUGGUUUUCUUCAACAGGAAAGAGUCUCUCCAAAGUGAACCUGAUCAGGAUUCUCUCUCCAUGUGUCAGGGGCAAAGGCCAAGAGGACAUUUUUCCUAGAGAAGGGCAAGGCUCUCAGCUGGCUCCACAAAAGCAUGGGAAUGGAGCCCAUCUGUGCUGACGUGUGAGAUAAGGGAAAACAGAAUGUCUUGUUGUUGCUAAUGAUGAUAAAGUAUGGGGUUUUUAAAAUAUGAAAAUGGCAUUGCAGUGUUAAAUCCUUUGCUUCUAGAUUACCUUUUCCACCAAAUUCAAAAUCAUUUACAAAACUCCUGGGAAAUAAAAUUUAAUUUCCCCAAUUCCAUGGCUAAGGAAGUGCCAAGAACCCCAGAGUUGGGAAACCAGUAACAACAUCAGCUUUAGAACUUCAAACCCCGACUUUGACACUUAGACUUCCAAGUCACGCUGUUGCUCAUUUCUCCAAAGGAGCUGAGGAAUCACCUUAAAAUCAGUGCCCUGCUUCAGUCCUUCAGACCCCUGCAUGCUAUAUCCAAAUCCCGGGAGUACUUGAGGCCGGGAGUACAUAAUGCCUAUCAGGAUGGAGAUGGGGUUGGGCAAAGCGGUCAAAUGGCUCUUGCU